GUAGACGAUGUUUGGUGCGUCGUCAUGCUUCAACGUUUGUUUAGAUGAUCAGGUGCAGUUUGGAUUUCCAGAGGAAUGAGACUAGAACGUCACGGAUUUGGAGUUGUUUACUUUUGUCCAGUGACAUGUUCAAGCCUAUGAGAGUGUUGACAUCCCAGUUCAAGGCAUCCAUGUCGGCAUAGUGGAGAGACAUCCAUGUCUAGCUUGCUGAGGAAAUAGUUGAGCUUAUUGUGGCCCGAUCUGAGUCGAUGGAGGGUAAUAGAGAUAUUUCUGAUGGGAUGGUGAUGCCACUCGAGGACACCCAAUCUGUCCCUUGAGUUGAGACAGAUGCCGUCAGGGUGUUGUUGAUUUUGUUGGUGCAUGGGAUGUCGGCUAGGUUACUUGCCAACCUGUCAGCAUCUUCGUUGCCAGGAAUGCCAC